AUUGAACGCUGGCGGCAUGCUUUACACAUGCAAGUCGAACGGUAACAGGCCUUCGGGCGCUGACGAGUGGCGAACGGGUGAGUAAUGCAUCGGAACGUGCCCAGUCGUGGGGGAUAACUAUCCGAAAGGAUAGCUAAUACCGCAUACGAUCUGCGGAUGAAAGCGGGGGACCUUCGGGCCUCGCGCGAUUGGAGCGGCCGGUGUCAGAUUAGGUAGUUGGGGGGGUAAAGGCUCACCAAGCCAAAGAUCUGUAGCUGGUCUGAAGGGACGAACAGCCAGACUGGGACAGAGACACGGCCCAGACACCUGCGGAAGGCAGCAGUGGGGAAUGUUGGGCAAUGGGCGCAAGCCUGAUCCAGAAAUGCCGCGUGCAGGCAGAUGGCCUUCGGGUUGUAAACUGCUUUUGUACGGAACGAAACGGCUCUGGUUAAUACCCGGGGCUAAUGACGGUACCGUAAGAAUAAGCACCGGCUAACUACGUGCCAGCCGCCGCGGUAACAC
rnacentral:rRNA from 1 species